ACAAAAAGCCCUGUGUUUUUUAUGCUUAGUUUUAAGUAACUAGAUACAAGAUAACCAUAGUGGUAUAUCAUUUGUAUAUAUAAGGUUUAACACGUGAUCCUUGUGUCAUUAAUAUAGGUAAAAACUCAAAAUUAUUUUAAUAUUUCCAGAGGUAGGAGAUUUUAGAUUUUUGUUUUCCUGGAUUCAAAAAGUAAUGUUGAUUCCAUCAUGAAUACCAAGACUCUCUCAGAAGUAUUCUGCUUGCAUGGUAUUUGCCCAAACUGAGCAAACAAUUUUAGGAUAAGUAGCUUUUUUACUUGGCAUGGUGCUGACACAGCUUCAUGUUGACAGAUGCCUUUGCAUCUGUCUUUGUGAUAGAAAGAAGACAGAUAUUCUCCUUGGCAUUAUAAAAGUUGCUGCUUUACAAAAUGAGAUGUAGAAUCAGAACAAAAAGUCCAACAAUGAACAGUGGUGUUAGUUUGCCUACAAGCAAAAAAGACUGAAACAGCCUCAGGUCAACGUAAUGUAGUAUGUUCUUACUGGAACUGAGUAACAGCUUUGUCAUUUUUUAAAAGUAGGCUAUAGAAAAAGAAAUUUUAUUUAUCCACCUUUGUUAGAAUAUAAAUGCUUGUUAAUCAGAAUGUUUAUGAUUCAUUCCAUGCCAACCAUUUUUAACAGAGAGGUGUGUCAGUCUGUAUAACUGCUUAAGUGUUACGUCACUUUACAGCUACAAAACCCCGUAAGUUAGUGCACUCUUGCCUGAUGAACUGGCCUCCUGAUUGUGUCACAAAGAAAAACACGAGAAUUUCAUAUUGUUUCUUGGAGAUGCUCUUGUCACACGAGGAUGGAGACUGCCUUCACUACAGCAUUGGCUAUCCAGCCCCAGAAGAAGGAGCCACAUAGGAGGAGCUCGUUCUGGGAACUGUGUGGCACCAGCCCCGCUGUGUCUCUCCAGGGCAGAUGGUGAUAAGACUGAAGGCAGAGUGCCAGUGGGAAGACCACGUACUGUAGUGCAUCGAGUACUGGGCUGGCGCUCGAGACCGUGGUACUCCUGGUUUCGUCAUGUUCAGAAAGAUGAAAUGGAAGCGGCUGUAUGGUGGGAAGAGGCGGUCUGGUUUCUAAUUUCGCUGUUCCUCAAGCGGGAUCUCAAGAUAGCAGUGAACAUUCUCCCCAGCCAAGCCUGUGUGUGCCAACUCUGGAGUUCUUUCUUUUUUAAUUUUGGAGACACUUCUGCUACAUCGAAAGUUGAUGUUCUCUGAAGCGUCCUAGCUGAUUCACCUGAACUUUCUCAAAAGCAGGUGAAACAGGGCCACAAAAGAAUGGUAUAUUACAGAUUUACAAACACAGAGAGAAUCUUUCGAACUGAACUGUAGAGAACCUGGCUCUGUGAAGAAACUUCACCAUGCAUCAGCAUGGUGAGUUCAGUUAGUUUCCUUCCACCUCCCCCCAACCCUUUGGCUUUCAUGACAUAAUUGUGUCUAAUAUAAGUUUUACUGGACACACCACAUUAAAUCUUUAUUGCCCUCAAAUCCAUUUACCUAUCUCAGAUAAGUAAAUGUAACCUUGUAAAACAGCUAUUAUUGAAAAUAUUAGCUUUAAAAACAUUAUCUUAUUUGUGUUUACAAAGAAAUAUAGGAGUCACAUUUUCCACAGAGUCCAUCUACAGUAUUAGUAUUUUACUGUUAUAAUGCUCAGUAGCCUGUAGCAAUAACAAACUAGUGGCUAUUAAUGCUAAUGCAGUGUUCUCAUAGAAUAACUGUGUUCCUGCACUUUUACUGUAUUACAGACAAAUCUACAACAAAAAAAAGAUCAACUUUUUUCUCCAAACAAAAAAAAUGAAUGAUUACAAUAAAGGAAAGGGAAAAAUUAAAUAGCUACAUAUCAUUAACAAAUUAAUUGUUCCUCAAAAAAUACCUACAAAUUUCUCUGUACAUUCUUUACGCACAGCGUAACGAUGGUCUUAAAGUUACCUAUAUAAAAAAGUGUUCUUUUAACAAUCUUCCUACAGAGAGUAGGGUACUGAAUGCCAAAGCAGGUAAGCGUUGACUACCCAGUAAGAUGGUAGUGAAAUGUGUAAAACUGGGGGCUUAGGUUUUUUUUUUUUUUGAAAUCGUUUUUAAAGAAAAUUGAGCAGCCACCUUCUCAACAAGAGUAAGAGCCAAUCUCCUGAUCUUUUUCUACCCUGCACCUUUUCCAAAUGAAAUAGCUUAACUUUAAAAAAAAAAAAAAAAACCUUAAAAUAAAAGCCACAAUGGACCCAAUACUGUAACAUAGUCCAUAAUACAUCACGUGUAGUUUAUCUUCCAACUAGUUCUAACUUUCUACAGUGAACCAAUCAUUUCAGGUAACCCAGUAUUUAAAAAACAAAAAACAAACAAAAAAAAAAACACCUUAGUUGCAACUGUACUGGGAAGAUGGAAUGUAUGGGGGAGAGUAGUUGCAUUUAACGAGAAGAGAAGCUCUUAGUACUAGCACAGCUGUGGUUUUAUGCCUGCCUCUAUUGCCUAAUUUCUAGUUAGUAGCUAUUAAUAUAGCAAAUGAUAAUAAAUGCAGUAAUACCUGUAUAAAGUUUUCUAAUGGAGGAAUGUAUGCUGCAACUUGGCAUAGGUUUAUGAAUAAGCUUAACAAAAUUAAAGAUCAUAUUUCACAAACUGUAACAAUCUGUUGUCCAGCCAAGAUACGUAAUGGUAGCAGUUUCUGCAGCUAGUUAAAGGUGGAUUACACAGACUUAGUUUUAGGAAGCAAAUUCCUGUUAAGCAGACAGUGCUGCAGACAGAAACAAUUACUCAGUCUUGCGCAAAGCUAUAGCAUCCUGUACCACGCAUCAUAUAUUUUUAAACUGCAUCAUUUGAGGCCUGUCCUGAGGCUGUCCUCUUUUGCUGGCUGCUACUAAAGAGAAUAUCAAAUACAAAUAUCAUAGAGUACAACUGUACCAGCAGUAAGUAUAUCUAGGAUUGUUACUGACAAAAAUAAACUAAUUCUGAAGAAAAGCUAAUAAGUAUUAUGAUUCUUACUGUCUAUACAUUAAUAGAUACCAGCUAUUUUUCAUAAAACAUGCAUCGUUAAGCACUAUUGAACCCUCCAACCUCAGCUCUAGUCUAACAAACUGCAGUGUUUAGGAAAAAAUGCCCGUGUUCUGUAAAUUAUGCAGUCCAGUUGCAAGCACCUAAGCACCUGAAAUCUAAAGAGAGAAAGACCGAUAACCUGUAUGAGACUUCCCCUUCCAAAGCUGUUUUGCUUUAAGAAAAAAAUCAAACUGAUAGAAAUGUCAUCCUUAAACCCUUUUUUCAGCAGUUUGCCCUCAAAAUAUUAGCAUCUUCCAGAAAGCUGCUAUGCAACUUCAGUCCUCCAAUAGUGCAAAUCAUACAUGACAGUUCUUUUCAAGUAUAUACAUACAAAAUUACUUCACAGAG